rnacentral:rRNA from 1 species
CCUACGGGUGGCAGCAGUCGAGAAUCAUUCACAAUGGGGGAAACCCUGAUGGUGCGACGCCGCGUGGGGGAAUGAAGGUCUUCGGAUUGUAAACCCCUGUCAUGUGGGAGCAAAUUAAAAAGAUAGUACCACACGAGGAAGAGACGGCUAACUCUGUACCAGCAGCCGCGGUAAUACAGAGGGCUCAAGCGUUGUUCGGAAUCACUGGGCGUAAAGCGUGCGUAGGCUGUUUCGUAAGUCGUGUGUGAAAGGCGCGGGCUCAACCCGCGGACGGCACAUGAUACUGCGAGACUAGAGUAAUGGAGGGGGAACCGGAAUUCUCGGUGUAGCAGUGAAAUGCGUAGAUAUCGAGAGGAACACUCGUGGCGAAGGCGGGUUCCUGGACAUUAACUGACGCUGAGGCACGAAGGCCAGGGGAGCGAAAGGGAUUAGAUACCCUAGUAGUC